UACGUAAGUGGCGAGCGUUAUCCGGAAUUACUGGGCGUAAAGCGUGCGUAGGCGGUUGCGCAAGACAGGUGUGAAAUCCCCGGGCUUAACCUGGGAAUUGCACUUGUGACUGUGCGGCUGGAGUGCGGCAGAGGGGGAUGGAAUUCCGCGUGUAGCAGUGAAAUGCGUAGAUAUGCGGAGGAACACCGAUGGCGAAGGCAGUCCCCUGGGCCUGCACUGACGCUCAUGCACGAAAGCGUGGGGAGCAAACAGG
rnacentral:rRNA from 1 species